rnacentral:rRNA from 1 species
CCCUUAGAUGUUCUGGGCCGCACGCGCGCUACACUGACACGUUCAUCAAGUCUAUAACCCUGACCGAGAGGUCUGGGUAAUCUUUUAAAAACGUGUCGUGCUGGGGAUAGAUUAUUGCAAUUAUUAAUCUUCAACGAGGAAUUCCUAGUAAACGCAAGUCAUCAACUUGCAUUGAUUACGUCCCUGCCCUUUGUACACACCGCCCGUCGCUACUACCGAUUGAAUGAUUUAGUGAGUACCAGGGACCGAGCGCUUUGGUUGGGUUUCCUUCCCUAGCGCUUGGGAACUGUCGCAAACUUGACCAUUUAGAGGAAGUAAAAGUCGUAACA